GAGUGAAAUCUGCACAGAUCAAGCACCGUUUACACUUCAAAACAGUCCAAAACAGCUCUAAACAAAUACAUGUUAACUGAUGGACUGGAGUGCUGUGGAUUAUUGUGAUGUUUUUAUCAGCUGUUUGGACUCUCAUUCUGACGGCACCCAUUCACUGCAGAGCAUCCAUUGCUGAGACACUGAUGCAGGGACACAUUUCUACAAACCUGAUGAAGAAACAAACUCAUCCUAAUCUAUGGCCUGAGGCUCCAUCGAGAGGAGCUCGGCCCAAAACGGCACCUGUUGUUCACCGAGUGACCUUCUAAUUUUCUAAUUCAAUUUCGUCUGGAGCCGCUCUGCCUCCGCGAUCAGCAGCCAGUAAUAACAAUUACUGUGACCGACUCAAC